AAUUGUGCAAAUUGUCUCACUUUAUUGUAUUUUCUGUAUAAAUUGCGAAAAAUAUGCAUCGUACAAGUGAUUUCCGUAUCUAAAACACAGCUCAAAGUGUAAUUGAGCGUGCUCUCGACGGCGGAGAGAUGAAUUUUGCGCGGAUCACACUUGCGCGGACCACUAGCAUUCCAACGCGCACCACCCUCCCCCACCGUACACCAAUUUCCGCAGAAUCGCACACACACACGACGCUCUGCCAACCAGUACUUCCUCGCCGAGAUUUGCUGCCUUCGUUACCACGAAAGCGAACCACAGCGAAACAACGCCUGGUGAUAACGUACGCUGGCAAAAGGGGUAACACGUCGCGGUACGGAAGAUGUUAGCAUAACGCCGAAGCAGCAACUCUCCGUCCAGACAAAAACAUAGCGUAUGCUCGAAUAACAUGCUGCAACCUGGGUCGAGGGUGUGAUGGCCGUUGAAAGGCAUAAAGCGGAGAAGCAGCAGCAGGCAGCAACCUCACCACCAACACCACCACCAAGAAAACGGUACGCGAAGAGCGCGCAGCACCGAUAAAACAAAGGCAACGUUUGUAUCCACACAUGGCGGUGGUGGCUCGGGAGAAGGAAAAGAAAAGAGCGACGGAAAAACAAAACGGCCACGAAACAGGAAGGCGAUCAUAAUAACGGUGCAAAACAAAUGAAGAGAUAUAUAAGUACGAGUGGGUGCUUUCGCCUCCCCCUGCCCUUAGCCAACCUGUCCCAUUCAGCCAACGUGCAGCCUCUUUGACGCGACGCCUGCAAAGACAAAAGUCGACGGUCCUCCGUCACACUAUCUCACCAUCACCUGUGCACUGCGGAGGGGUGGAAGUAUGUAACCCUUGCCCCCACCACACGGAAUGAGUCCCUUUUCAAUCGUGAAUUAUUCCCCGUGGUUUGCUAAUUAAUUGACAUAGUUCUUCUGGGAUGAAUGCGGGCGGUGGGAUGUGUGCCGUAGGAUGGAGGGGCUGAGGGGGCAUACGUUUCAUAUGCGGUGGCAACGUUUCGAGAGCUAUUAAGAUGCGCCAAGUGGAAAGUGGAAAAAGGUUGUUAGUUACCAUAUUUUCUUUGUGUUUCGCCGUGGCUCAGCGGCUCUCUGUGUUCGCUGUGUCGCUACAAACUCCCCCCUGAGCCGCGGCUUUUCCGGAGGUGUCCCGUUGGGAGGGUUUCUUACCCCGUGCCGGGAUGCAUAAAGGUGAAAUAUUUGCUAAUGAGAUGGAGCUUGUUGUGUAUAUGCAUAAAAGUGUAAUUAAUGUAACACCGAUAUGAACGUGAUGCUUGCUUUAUGGGAGGGAGCGGACCGGGGAUAUCACACAGUGGGUGAGGAAAACCAACCAGAUAGUUUGCUGAACAAAGCUAAAGGGUGAUUUUUUAAAUUAACUUUGAAAA